rnacentral:rRNA from 1 species
GGUUCGAUUCCGGAGAGGGAGCCUGAGAAACGGCUACCACAUCCAAGGAAGGCAGCAGGCGCGCAAAUUACCCAAUCCCGACACGGGGAGGUAGUGACAAUAAAUAACAACACAGGGCUCUUUUGGGUCUUGUUAUUGGAAUGAGUACGAUUUAAAUCUCCUAACGAGGAACAAUUGGAGGGCAAGUCUGGUGCCAGCAGCCGCGGUAAUUCCAGCUCCAAUAGCGUAUAUUAAAGUUGUUGCAGUUAAAAAGCUCGUAGUUGAAUUUCAGGCCUGGCUGGACGGUCCGCCCUUCGGGUGAGUACUGUCUGUGGUCGGGUCCUACCUUCUGGCGAAGCGUCAUGGCCUUAACCGGCCGUGGCGGGGAACCAGGACUUUUACUGUGAAAAAAUUAGAGUGUUCAAAGCAGGCAAUCGCUUGGAUACAUUAGCAUGGAAUAAUGGAAUAGGACAAUGGUUCUAUUUGUUGGUUUCUAGGACCGUUGUAAUGAUUAAUAGGGAUAGUUGGGGGCAUUAGUAUUCAAUUGUCAGAGGUGAAAUUCUUGGAUUUAUUGAAGACUAACUAC